GGAGGUAUAGCUCAAGUGGUAGAGCACAUGCUUAGCAAGCAUGAGGUCCUGGGUUCAGACCCUGUACCGUCU
rnacentral:tRNA from 1 species